UUAAUAUUAAUAACGGAAAGGUUAUGUCUAGGUUAUGUUUAGCUAGCAUGUUUACGAAGAUAACGAUUGAUGGUGUAUAAUAAGAUAUAUUGAACACGAACUACGAAUUAUUGUAGUAUGAAUUUAUUAAGGACGCUUUUAAGAUCGUGAUAUGGGACGAGUGUUCAUUUUGAGCAUCUUGAAUAUCUGUUUAAUAAAAUUAAAUCGUGAAAAUAAGAAGAGAGAUCACAAAAGACCAACGAAAUUCCAUUGUCCAGAAAGUGAAUUUCAACUUUAUCCCACACGAUUCGUAAUAAAGUUGGAGCAAUCAUAAAAGAGAAAAGAAUAAAAUAAGAAAAAGGAAGAAAAGAAGUUUUUUAAAAUAGGAAGAAAAAGAUAUCACGGUCGGUCUCUGCCCGAUAGAAAAUGGAGGAUCUGCGAAAUAAUCCAUUGCACAGAUGGUCGAGAGAAGUGAAAGGAAGACGUUCAGGGAUGGAAUGGAAAAUAGACGGAAUGAAAUAUUUCUUCGCGAUGGAGAAAUGGAUUAAUGGCCCCCGUUCCUGCGUGUCUUGAAUGAAAGUGGUGAUUAGACUUUUUUUCUUUCUUUUUAUUUGUUUUGUUUUUUUUUUUUUUUUUUUUUUUUUUUUAAGGCCAUAAGAGGAGACAGGAAUGAGCCUCGAAUUUUGUAUCCAUGAGAUGAUGAAAUUGAGAGGAAAUGUUGUAUAUGUAGAAAGAAAAAAGAUUGGUCGUCGAAAAAAGGUUAUUAGUUUGAUUGUAAAAGCGAAUGACUGGUUUAUAAUCAACUAUUACGAUUUGUAAUGUAUUAUAAAAGCUGUAAACAACAUAUAUAAAAUUCUCGAGUGAAAAUACGACACGAUAAGGCAUAGGAGAAGAUAAGAUAAGCCUUGAUUUGUAGAAUUGAAACGAAAUUGUUGGUAUAAAGUAAUAAGGAUUUAUCGUCGAAAUGGUUUGUUGCUUCGAUAUAAAAAUUGAUUGGUUAAUUAAUUUCUUGUCAACCAUUAUACAAUUUAUAAUUUAUGAAAGCUAUAAUAUUGUAACAUCUUGAAUAAAAGUAUUUUUUUUUUUUCUAUUUUUACAAGCCAUAAAAGAAGAUAGAACGAGAUUUUCUUGAAGAAAAUUGUCCUUUAUUGAAAAUCGUGCGAGUAAAUAUUGGCCACGAAUCAAAAGAGUGUUGACUCGUUGUGCGAAAGUAUGGUGUAAGAUGAUUUUUGAAUAGAAUAGAAUAGAAAAAAAAUUGGAAUAGAAAUUCCAAAUUAUUGGAUGGUGUAAUCGUUAAGUUCUCAUCGAUGCAAUUCGUCGUACACAAAAGCUGUAAAUUAAUUGGCGCGAUUAAUAUUCGAAAACUUUUUAAAAAGAAUGGAUUUGCUUGCGAAGUAAUGGAGGAAAGAAACGGAUGAAUCUUCCUCAGUUCCAAUUAAGAUUGGAAAAGGAAAGGAGAAUCGCUUUAAUUGCAUACGAUCGAGUUGAUUAAGCUUUCACGAUAAUUAUGUGCCGAGAUAAUCCUUGAAGAUAAUUUUUAGUACGCUUUUGUCUUCAUCAUCAAGUUAAAACAAAGAUGAAGUUGUGCGAAAGAAGGACAAAUCAAAAGGAGAAG
rnacentral:lncRNA from 1 species